GGACUACAGGGGUAUCUAAUCCUGUUUGCUCCCCACGCUCUCGUGCCUCAGUGUCAGUAUUUGUCCAGGUAGCCGCCUUCGCCACUGAUGUUCCUUCCGAUCUCUACGCAUUUCACCGCUACACCGGAAAUUCCACUACCCUCUACAAUACUCUAGCGAGACAGUCAUCCAUGCCAUUCCUAGGUUAAGCCCAGGGAUUUCACAUGCAUCUUACCUCACCACCUACGCACCCUUUACGCCCAGUCAUUCCGAUUAACGCUCGCACCCUCUGUAUUACCGCGGCUGCUGGCAC
rnacentral:rRNA from 1 species